CAGCUCUAAAGAUCCUAAGUGCCAUCAUAGAUGCACUAUUUCAGCACGAUGCUGCUCACCACAGUUAUCCUGCUCUGUGCUGUUGGGAGUGGAAGUUUUGAGAGUCCCAUUUCAUCAGACCAAACUGAGGUUAUUCACGAGGAGGGUGCAAGUAUAACUUUGUCCUGUAGUUACUCAACUGCAGUUAGUUUAUAUUGGUACCGCCAAUAUCCCAGAUCAGCUCCUGAAUAUCUUUUAUCAGUUUUUCAAACCUCUGGACGGGUCCAGAGCGCAGAGAAUCUGGAUUCUCGGUUUUCAGCAGGACUGAAUGACAAGAAAAACCGUGUGGAUCUGAUCGUCUCCUCUGUCAAAGUGACAGAUUCUGAUCUGUACUACUGUGCUCUGCAGCCCACAGUGACAGGAAACCUUUACACACUGUACAAAAACCUGCCUAGAAAAAAAACAUGUUCUCCUGGACGCAUACCUUGUAAACUUCUUUCAACAAGUUAAGAUACUGUAACACAUAAACAGUGUAAGCCCUAAUAAGAAAAAUAUGUAAUUAUAAAAGAAGUCAAAUAUCAUUAUCUAUCUUUUUACUAGAAUGAAUCUGCCAUCUAGCGGUUCUUUAGGCUCAGUACACUGGAUUACUGGUGAAAUAUUUAUAGUGAAAAUUUAAUAUAGCACU